GGAACCUAAUAUAAGUUAGCUACAUAUUUUGGCCAGAGAAACUGUAAUGCAGACUAGCAUUAACAUUGGAAGGACAUGCACGAAUUAACUAAUUAAUAUAUGUUCAUAUUUGCUUAUAAAGAGAAUAAAACUGCUUCAAAUUUAUAAUACAAGUUAGUAUCUCUUCAUUUUACAGCAGCAGAUGUCUGGCUAAAUUCUAAUCAUAGAUUUGCCCAUAGAAAAUGCAAUUCAUUCCAGAGAAUCAAAAAGAAUAUAAAAAUUGAUCCUACCUUUUUGACUUUUACUGCUUUCUU
rnacentral:misc_RNA from 1 species